AGGUGAGGUUCGUUAGCCGUGGUAGGCAAUUCACCUAGGAGAGCAAACUCCGAACAAUAAACCCGGGCAGGUUGGGCUCGUGAGCCGUCAUAGGUAAUACACCUAGGAGAGCAAACUCCGAACAAUAAACCCGGGCAGGUUGGGCUCGUGAGCCGUCAUAGGUAAUACACCUAGGAGAGCAAACUCCGAACAAUAAACCCGGGCAGGUUGGGCUCGUGAGCCGUCAUAGGUAAUACACCUAGGAGAGCAAACUCCGAACAAUAAACCCGGGCAGGUUGGGCUCGUGAGCCGUCAUAGGUAAUACACCUAGGAGAGCAAACUCCGAUCAUAAAACCCGGGCAGGUGGAGCUCGUCAGCCAUGGUAGGCAGUCUGCCUAGGAGAGCAAACUCCGAACAAUAAACCCGGGCAGGUGGAGCUCGUCAGCCGUGGUAGGCAGUCUGCCUAGGAGAGCAAACUCCGAACAAUAAACCCGGGCAGGUGGAGCUCGUCAGCCGUGGUAGGCAGUCUGCCUAGGAGAGCAAACUCCGAACAAUAAACCCGGGCAGGUGGAGCUCGUCAGCCGUGGUAGGCAGUCUACCUAGGAGAGCAAACUCCGAACAAUAAACCGGGACUUGUGGUGCUCGUUAGAUGUCGUAGACAAUCCACGUGAUGGGAACACCAAAGAAAAGGAAAAUAAAAAGGAACACCAGAAAAAGGAAAAUAUGGUAACAAAACAUCAAGAAAAGAAAAAACACAGAUCAUCCACCUUUAGGCCCUAACAUCACCAAAAUUAUGGCUGAGUCUUUUCUGGGGAGAAAGAGGCUCAUCCAGACCAAAGAACAUCAAAAAGGGAUGAUAUAGAAAGGAACACCAAAAAAAUGGUAAAAAGAGAAAAAAACAUCGAAAAAGAAAAGUAACAACAAUAACAGAACAACGUCAAGAAAAGUAACAUACAAAGAAACAUCAUCCACCAUUCGGCCCCAAACUAACAUCACCAAAAUUAUGGGUGGGUCUUUUCUGGGGAGAAAAAGGCUCACCCAGACCAAAGAACAUCAAAGAGGGAUGAUAUAGAAAAGAACAUAAAAAAAUAGGGGAAAAAAGAGCAAAAAACAUCGCAAAAGAAAAGUAACAGCAAUAACAGAACAACAUCAAGAAAAGUAACAUACAAAGAAACAUCAUCCACCAUUCGGCCCCAAACUAACAUCACCAAAAUUAUGGGUGAGUCUCUUCUGGGAGGAAAGCGGCUCACCCAGACCAAUGAACAUCAACAAGAGGAUGAUAUGAAAUAAAAGAACAUCAAAAAAGAAAAACAACAGCAAGAAAACAAAGAAAAAGAUAAAGAAAAGGAAAAAGAAACAAAAAGAAAAAGAAAAACACCAAAAUAAAAUAAAACAAAAACAAAAAAAUAAU